rnacentral:rRNA from 1 species
AGUGAACGCUGGCGGUAGGCCUAACACAUGCAAGUCGAACGGCAGCACAGAGGAGCUUGCUCCUUGGGUGGCGAGUGGCGGACGGGUGAGGAAUACAUCGGAAUCUACUCUGUCGUGGGGGAUAACGUAGGGAAACUUACGCUAAUACCGCAUACGACCUACGGGUGAAAGCAGGGGAUCUUCGGACCUUGCGCGAUUGAAUGAGCCGAUGUCGGAUUAGCUAGUUGGCGGGGUAAAGGCCCAUCAAGGCGACGAUCCGUAGCUGGUCUGAGAGGAUGAUCAGCCACACUGGAACUGGGACACGGUCCAGACUCCUACGGGAGGCAGCAGUGGGGAAUAUUGGACAAUGGGCGCAAGCCUGAUCCAGCCAUACCGCGUGGGUGAAGAAGGCCUUCGGGUUGUAAAGCCCUUUUGUCGGGAAAGAAAUCCAUCUGGUUAAUACCCGGGUGGGAUGACGGUACCCAAAGAAUAAGCACCGGCUAACUUCGUGCCAGCAGCCGCAGUAA